CCUACGGGAGGCAGCAGUAGGGAAUCUUCCGCAAUGGACGAAAGUCUGACGGAGCAACGCCGCGUGAGUGAAGAAGGAUUUCGGUUUGUAAAACUCUGUUGUUAGGGAAGAAUGAUUGUAUAGUAACUAUAUACAGUAGAGACGGUACCUAACCAGAAAGCCACGGCUAACUACGUGCCAGCAGCCGCGGUAAU
rnacentral:rRNA from 1 species